UAAUCGCAACACGCAAACACGGUUGUUUCUCACACGUUGUUUCAAUCUUCAUUCUUCAAUAUUCACUGUUGUAACUCGUAAGUCUGAGACGCACCCUCCGACAGUCCGAAUACACCUCGCCGUUCGCCGCCUCCGCCUACAGCAGCUCCUCCUUCGCCUGCAAUAGCACCGCCUCCACCUGCAACAGCUCCUCUUCCAGCUUACAGCUUCGUCGUUGAUUAGGAAGCCAAAUCAUGCAGGUGUAUGAGGUUAUGCGCAAAAUGGCAAAGAGGAAAAGAUCGGGGGCUAUUACGGUAUAUUAAAAGUUCGGAUGUGAUGGUUGAUACUAUGUUUUUUAACUGUUUAGCGGAAAUGAAGGGGGGUGUUGGUGAUGAUGGAAAGUAAAGGGUGUGAACCUGAUAAGAUUAGACAAGAGUCUUGCAUUAAAUUCUUUGAAGUGGAAAGAGCUAUCGCCUACCUGGAGGUCAACCAAAUAAAGGGUGCUGAUAUUUGUAGUUUUAGUUGUUGGGAACUUCAUUGCAUCAGAGAUUUUGUAAUUUUCAGCGCAAAGUUCCACCAAUGAUGUAUUGAAAGCUCUUAUACCAUCCGAUUAAAUAAUUCACUAAUCACUAUAUACCAAAAA